CCUACGGCGGCAGCAGUGGGGAAUAUUGGACAAUGGGCGAAAGCCUGAUCCAGCCAUGCCGCGUGUGUGAAGAAGGCCUUCGGGUUGUAAAGCACUUUCAGUGGGGAAGAAAGCCUUGGGGCUAAUACCCUCGAGGAAGGACAUCACCCACAGAAGAAGCACCGGCUAACUCCGUGCCAGCAGCCGCGGUAAUACGGAGGGUGCGAGCGUUAAUCGGAAUUACUGGGCGUAAAGCGCGCGUAGGCGGUCUGAUAAGCCGGUUGUGAAAGCCCCGGGCUCAACCUGGGAACGGCAUCCGGAACUGUCAGGCUAGAGUGCAGGAGAGGAAGGUAGAAUUCCCGGUGUAGCGGUGAAAUGCGUAGAGAUCGGGAGGAAUACCAGUGGCGAAGGCGGCCUUCUGGACUGACACUGACGCUGAGGUGCGAAAGCGUGGGUAGCAAACAGGAUUAGAUACCCGAGUAGUC
rnacentral:rRNA from 1 species